GUGGCGCACGGGUGCGUAACGCGUAUGCAACCUACCUUAAUCAGGGGGAUAGCCCGAAGAAAUUCGGAUUAACACCGCAUAAAAUCACAGUACAGCAUUGUACAAUGAUCAAAUAUUUAUAGGAUUAAGAUGGGCAUGCGUGACAUUAGUUAGUUGGCGGGGUAACGGCCCACCAAGACCACGAUGUCUAGGGGAUCUGAGAGGAUGACCCCCCACACUGGUACUGAGACACGGACCAGACUCCUACGGGAGGCAGCAGUAAGGAAUAUUGGUCAAUGGAGGCAACUCUGAACCAGCCAUGCCGCGUGCAGGAAGACAGCCCUCUGGGUCGUAAACUGCUUUUAUUCGGGAAUAAACCACAUUACGUGUAGUGUGCUGAAUGUACCGAAGGAAUAAGGAUCGGCUAACUCCGUGCCAGCAGCCGCGGUAAUACGGAGGAUCCAAGCGUUAUCCGGAUUUAUUGGGUUUAAAGGGUGCGUAGGCGGCUUUUUAAGUCAGGGGUGAAAGACGGUGGCUCAACCAUCGCAGUGCCCUUGAUACUGAAGAGCUUGAAUGAACUAGAGGUAGGCGGAAUGUGACAAGUAGCGGUGAAAUGCAUAGAUAUGUCACAGAACACCGAUUGCGAAGGCAGCUUACUAUGGUUAAAUUGACGCUGAGGCACGAAAGCGUGGGGAUCAAACAGGAUUAGAUACCCUGGUAGUCCACGCCCUAAACGAUGAAUACUCGCUGUUAGCGAUACACAGUUAGCGGCUAAGCGAAAGCGUUAAGUAUUCCACCUGGGGAGUACGGUCGCAAGAUUGAAACUCAAAGGAAUUGACGGGGGCCCGCACAAGCGGAGGAGCAUGUGGUUUAAUUCGAUGAUACGCGAGGAACCUUACCCGGGCUUGAAAGUUAGUGAAUCAUUUAGAGAUAGAUGAGUCCGCAAGGACACGAAACUAGGUGCUGCAUGGCUGUCGUCAGCUCGUGCCGUGAGGUGUUGGGUUAAGUCCCGCAACGAGCGCAACCCCUAUGUUUAGUUGCCAGCACGUCAUGGUGGGGACUCUAAACAGACUGCCUGUGCAAACAGAGAGGAAGGAGGGGACGACGUCAAGUCAUCAUGGCCCUUACGUCCGGGGCUACACACGUGCUACAAUGGAUGGUACAGAGGGCAGCAAGCUGGUAACAGCAAGCAAAUCUCCAAAAGCCAUUCACAGUUCGGAUAGAGGUCUGCAACUCGACCUCUUGAAGUUGGAUUCGCUAGUAAUCGUAUAUCAGCAAUGAUACGGUGAAUACGUUCCCGGGCCUUGUACACACCGCCCGUCAAG
rnacentral:rRNA from 1 species